rnacentral:rRNA from 1 species
GAGCGGCGGACGGGUUAGUAACGCGUGGGAAUAUGCCCAAAGGUACGGAAUAGCCUCUGGAAACGGAGAGUAAUACCGUAUGUGCCCUUCGGGGGAAAGAUUUAUCGCCUUUGGAUUAGCCCGCGUUGGAUUAGGUAGUUGGUGGGGUAAUGGCCUACCAAGCCUACGAUCCAUAGCUGGUUUGAGAGGAUGAUCAGCAACACUGGGACUGAGACACGGCCCAGACUCCUACGGGAGGCAGCAGUGGGGAAUAUUGGACAAUGGGCGCAAGCCUGAUCCAGCCAUACCGCGUGUGUGAAGAAGGCCUUCGGGUUGUAAAGCACUUUAAGCAGGGAGAAAAAAAUAUAGGCUAAUACCCUAUGUUCUUGAUGUUACCUGCAGAAUAAGCACCGGCUAAUUCCGUGCCAGCAGCCGCGGUAAUACGGAAGGUGCAAGCGUUAAUCGGAAUUACUGGGCGUAAAGCGCGCGUAGGUGGUUUGUUAAGUUGGAUGUGAAAGCCCUGGGCUCAACCUAGGAACUGCAUCCAAAACUGACUAACUAGAGUACGAUAGAGGGAGGUAGAAUUCAUAGUGUAGCGGUGGAAUGCGUAGAUAUUAUGAAGAAUACCAGUGGCGAAGGCGGCCUCCUGGAUCUGUACUGACACUGAGGUGCGAAAGCGUGGGUAGCGAACAGGAUUAGAUACCCUGGUAGUCCACGCCGUAAACGAUGACAACUAUCUGUUGGGAGGCAAUGCCUUUCAGUGGAGCAGCUAACGUUUUAAGUUGUCCGCCUGGGGAGUACGGCCGCAAGGCUAAAACUCAAAUGAAUUGACGGGGACCCGCACAAGCAGUGGAUCAUGUGGUUUAAUUCGAUGCAACGCGAAAAACCUUACCUACUCUUGACAUACUUGGAAGCUCUUGUAAUGAGAGUGUGCUUUUAAGAACCAAGAUACAGGUGCUGCAUGGCUGUCGUCAGCUCGUGUCGUGAGAUGUUCCGUUAAGUCGGAUAACGAGCGCAACCCUUACCCUUAUUUGCCAGCGAUUCGGUCGGGAACUAUAAGGGGACUGCCGGUGAUAAACCGGAGGAAGGUGAGGACGACGUCAAGUCAUCAUGGCCCUUACGAGUAGGGCUACACACGUGAUACAAUGGAGAAUACAGACGGACGCUAAGCCGCGAGGUGGUGCCAAUCCUAAAAAAUUCUUCGUAGUCCGGAUUGGAGUCUGCAACUCGACUCCAUGAAGUUGGAAUUGCUAGUAAUCGCGGAUCAGCAUGCCGCGGUGAAUACGUUCUCGGGUCUUGUACUCACCGC